rnacentral:lncRNA from 1 species
CGUCUGUUUGGAUAAGCGUUUUCGCACAGCAAACGUGCGUUUCAGCCUCUCAGACGUGAUUUAUCACUUUUGCAGGAUGUUUGGUAAAAUAAUGGAAAAUCGAUUUUACUCCUCAGACUUGAUUCUACAUGAAGCUGCUAUUUGUAGCUUUCACGUCACGUUGAAUCGAUUUUGAAAGCUUAAUUAUGUGUUUAAAAUAUUUUUCAUCAUCUUUCUCUAUAUUGCCCUCGGUUUCGUGUGUGUC